rnacentral:siRNA from 1 species
CAUCAAUAAUUUGUUUACCAAGU